AGAGUUUGAUCCUGGCUCAGGAUGAACGCUAGCUACAGGCUUAACACAUGCAAGUCGAGGGGCAGCGGGUUGAAAGCUUGCUUUCAAUGCCGGCGACCGGCGCACGGGUGCGUAACGCGUAUCAAACCUGCCUCAUACUCGGGGAUAGCCUUGCGAAAGUAAGAUUAAUACCCGAUGUUGUUGCUUUCUCGCAUGGGAGAGUAACCAAAGAUUUAUCGGUAUGAGAUGGUGAUGCGUCCGAUUAGGUAGUAGGCGGGGUAACGGCCCACCUAGCCUUCGAUCGGUAGGGGUUCUGAGAGGAAGGUCCCCCACACUGGAACUGAGACACGGUCCAGACUCCUACGGGAGGCAGCAGUGAGGAAUAUUGGUCAAUGGGCGAGAGCCUGAACCAGCCAAGUAGCGUGCAGGAUGACGGCCCUAUGGGUUGUAAACUGCUUUUAUGUGGGAAUAAAGUGGCGCACGUGUGCGCCAUUGCAUGUACCGCAUGAAUAAGGACCGGCUAAUUCCGUGCCAGCAGCCGCGGUAAUACGGAAGGUCCAGGCGUUAUCCGGAUUUAUUGGGUUUAAAGGGAGCGUAGGCGGAUUGUUAAGUCAGCGGUUAAAGGGUGUGGCUCAACCAUGCAUUGCCGUUGAAACUGGCGAUCUUGAGUGCAGACAGGGAUGCCGGAAUUCGUGGUGUAGCGGUGAAAUGCUUAGAUAUCACGAAGAACUCCGAUCGCGAAGGCAGGUGUCCGGGCUGCAACUGACGCUGAGGCUCGAAAGUGUGGGUAUCAAACAGGAUUAGAUACCCUGGUAGUCCACACAGUAAACGAUGUAUACUCGCGGUUUGCGAUAGAUUGUAAGCCGCCAAGCGAAAGCAUUAAGUAUACCACCUGGGGAGUACGCCGGCAACGGUGAAACUCAAAGGAAUUGACGGGGGCCCG
rnacentral:rRNA from 1 species